UACAGAGGUCUCAAGCGUUGUUCGGAUUCAUUGGGCGUAAAGGGUGCGUAGGCGGCGCCGUAAGUCAGGUGUGAAAUUUCGGAGCUUAACUCCGAAACUGCAUUUGAUACUGCGGUGCUUGAGGACUGGAGAGGAGACUGGAAUUCACGGUGUAGCAGUGAAAUGCGUAGAUAUCGUGAGGAAGACCAGUGGCGAAGGCGGGUCUCUGGACAGUUCCUGACACUGAGGCACGAAGGUCAGGGGAGCAAACGGG
rnacentral:rRNA from 1 species